rnacentral:rRNA from 1 species
AGGGCUCGACUUCUAGGAAGGUUGCCGAAAGGUGACUGUGCUUUUUAAGAACCUAAAAUC